CUGAAAUCCAGUAGACGAGUCCAGUCCGUUUUCAGGUUAAAGUAUCGAAAUCUCGAUCCGUCUUCUGUUUUGUUUAAAUUCCAAAAUUCUCGUUUCUUUUCUCUUCCCCAAAUUGAAUCAACCCCUAAUUCAUCUCGUUGAUAAGUUUCUCUUAAAUCAAAACCCUAAGUAAUCAGUAAUUCUGGGAGCUCUGAUCAGGCUUAUACUCAAAAAAAAUUCAGAGGAUUGGACCAUCUAUUAGAAGAUAUAAGGGCUUGUUUGGAUCUUGGUCUACUACAAUCACUCUUAUCCAAAUGCUCAGUGACGGAGCCAAGGCUUAAUGCUCCCGGGGUCGAUAGCAGGGAAACCUAAAUUUUCAUAUCCCUCCUACCUAUUUUGCCCCCAUAGAUGGUUGAAUUUACAAAAAUACCAAGUUUAUUUAAACUGAAGUUUGAAAACAAGUGGGGUUCGUAGACCCCAUUCGUCUCCAUUUGCCUCCGUCCCUGCAAAUGCUGCACCUGACUAGAGUAGGAUCUGAUCACACGCCUAUAUUCCCUGGAUAGAAAUGCCAUAUAGUUUCUUUAGAAGUUUGUUUAGAACACAAAUACUUUCGUUCAUAGUGUCCUGAAUCCUCAUUGGAAUAUAAUGGGUGACAUAAUUCUUUCAGAGGCUCUGGGGCUAGAUGGAUACACCCAGAUUUCUUUCAGAAGAAUUGGAAUAUAAUGGGUGACAGUCUUUCAAACUGGGCGACGUAUCUGCUGUGUCAAUCGGGUUUCGGGAUAUAUGAAACUACUGAUAAACAGCUGUGAAGAUUUUACAUGAGAUUGCAAGACAAGUCUUAUGCAUCUUAAAAAGAAGAGCACAGAAGGUAUGAGGAGGAAUCCAGUUGGUGGCAGCGGACAAGUUACUUCAGUCAUCGCAAUUUCAUUAACUUGGCUGGGUGCAUAUAUUUGGCCUACCCAACUUUUUUUGGUCAAUCUACACGCUGUAAAUGCAUCUUCUCCAUGGCUUUCAGUAGUGGUUUCAACUUUCAUUUUUUGUCGAGGCUAUGAAAUUAGUAAUUGUGGACUUGGUGUUUACAUUUUGAAGUGAACUGUUAUUGAAUUCCGUCCUUGUUGAGGAUGCUUAUCCCGUAAUUGCAAAGGGACCUGAUCUACGAAACCAGAGAUUCUGGGUUCGAUCCCUAGUGAAGUCCUUUUUUUUUA